UAGCCUAAUGGUUAAGGCUACGGAUUUCCGAUCACGAGGUCGUGGGUUCGAAUCCCGC
rfam:Papilio xuthus contig17438, whole genome shotgun sequence.